AUGAUGGUGAUGAUGAUGAUGAUGAUGAUGAUGAUGAUGAUGAGGGUGAUGAUGGUGGUUAUGAUGAUGAGGGUGAUGGUAAUGAUGAUGGUGGUGAUGAUGGUGGUGAUGAUGAUGAUGGUGGUGAUGAUGAUGAGGGUGAUGGUGAUGAUGGUGGUGAUGAUGAUGAUGGUGGUGAUGAUGAUGAGGGUGAUGGUGAUGAUGGUGGUGAUGAUGAUGAGGGUGAUGGUGAUGAUGGUGGUGAUGAUGAUGAGGGUGAUGGUGAUGAUGAUGGUGAUGAUGAUGAGGGGGAUGAUGAAGAGGGUGAUGAUGAUGGUGAUGAUGAUGAUGAUGGUGGUGAGUGUGAUGAUGGUGGUGAUGGUGAUGAUGAUGAUGAUGGUGAUGAUGAUGAGGGGGAUGAUGAUGAGGGUGAUGAUGAUGGUGAUGAUGAUGAUGGUGGUGAGGGUGAUGAUGGUGGUGGUGAUGAUGAUGAUGGUGGUGAUGAUGAGGGUGAUGAUGAAGAGGGUGAUGAUGAUGGUGAUGAUGAUGAUGAUGGUGGUGAUGAUGAUGAUGAUGGUGGUGAGGGUGAUGAUGGUGGUGAUGGUGAUGAUGAUGAUGAUGGUGAGGGGGAUGAUGAUGAGGGUGAUGAUGAUGAUGAUGGUGGUGAUGAUGAUGAUGGUGGUGAGGGUGAUGAUGGUGGUGAUGGUGAUGAUGAUGAUGGUGGUGAUGAUGGUGAUGAUGGUGGUGAUAGUGAUUAUGAUGGUGAUGGUGGUGAUGAUGGUGAUGCUGAUGAUGGUGGUGAUUGUGAUGAUGGUGAUGAUGAUGAUGAUGAUGAUGGUGGUGGUGGUGAUGGUGGUGAUGAUGGUGGUGAUGAUGGUGAUGAUGAUGAUGGUCUUCUUCACAGGACGCUCUGAAGCCAGCGGGCAGCACCAGCGUCCCCAGCUCCACCAGCAGCCCAUCCUUCCCCAUCACCAGCUACCUGCCAGCCGCCGGGAACACAGCGAAGAGCACCGGAGUCAUGCAGCUGCCUGCAGGAUUCACCUUCAUGUCAGGCUCUCCGUUUGCUCCCGGGACUCCUGCGAUUCCUCUCGGUCAGAGCGGUGUGUCUCAGGGGUCACCACAGGGUCAGCAGGCCGUGUUUCGUCUGCCAGCCACCGUCUCACUGACCGGUGCGUCUCCACACAGCCCUCACUAGUGCUCACUGCUCAGUGUUCACCAUCAGACCUCGUCUCCUCGGAGUCACACAUACAGUAUAUCAGGGGUUUGUGUGAUCUCACACUUCCAGCCACAUAUCUUCAUGCAAAUUUGGCUUUAUUGCAUAAACAACACAGAUAUGCAAAAUGCACAGGAGAUCUCACAAUGUGCAUUAAAACAUGCAUCGUAUGUGAUCAGAAAACAUGCGUGCAUUAGCUAUGAUAGAAGACACUCCUGAUGCACAACAAAACUAUUUUUGUUGUUGUCAUUUUUACAAGCAAUUUUUUUAUGUCUGCAUUUUUGUUUCAGUUUCGUUUUGAGUUAUUUUAGUACAUCUAGUUAAACCAAAUAAAAAUGUGAUGUUGUCUUGGAAACUAGCUGGAAAACAACUUUUUUUUUUUAAUUGUAUAUUUUAUUUACUUCUGUUCAGAUGUAUGUUAUGGUAGGACGAUGGUUUCGGUUGUAGUCCCAGCUGUUUGGAGCAGAGAGAUGGAAACGGUGCUUUAUUUGUGGAUGUUUAGUGCAGUGUGCUGGGUUUGAUCCCCAGAUGUGACGGUGAAUAAUGAGAGGAGUCUGAUGAAGCUGAUUCUGCUGUAAUAAACUCAUCACACGGCUGCUGUGUUCGCUCACACAUCCGCUUUGAUCAGUAUCAGAUUCACUGCCACUGAUGAUCAGGUGGAGCUCACAGGAAGUGCAGACUGAGCGUGUGUGUGUGUGUGUGUGUGUGUGUGUGUCAGGCGGAGGGAUGCCGCAGCAGCUCCAGAGCGUCCAGGUCCAGUCCAGCGGUCAGUCGAGCUGCAUCAGCUCCAGCGCUCCACAGACCUCAGGUACACACAUACACACACACACACACAGGGAGAGAGAGACACACACACACACAUCAUUUUCUGCUUUAGUUAAAGUUUGACACUUUGUUGUGCAUUUUUCUAAUUUAUUUAUGUCUGUGUAGUUUUAUAUAUUUUUAUUUUAGUUAUGUUGUUGUGCAUUUUUGUCGUUUUUGAAAUAUUUACAUGUAUAUAUUUAUAUUCCUAUAAAUUAUUUUAUAAGUAAACAUAUUUAUUAAAAACCCAUAGCCUAUGCUUCUGAUAAUAAACAUAUACUGUACACACACAUAUAUUUUGUAAACAAAAACUUUUAUUUUGGAUGCGAUUAAUCGUUUGACAGCACUAUAUAUACACAAUUCUAUAACAUAUAUAAACAUUUUUCAAAAAUGUUUAAUCUUCAUAUUAUUUUCUGCUUUAAAGUUUUAUUACCAUUGUUGUGCAUAUAUAUAUAUAUAUAUAUAUAAUUUAUUUUUUUAUUAUUAUUUUUUUUUUACUUUAAGUUA
rnacentral:lncRNA from 1 species